CACAGUGGGGAAUAUUGCACAAUGGGCGAAAGCCUGAUGCAGCCAUGCCGCGUGUGUGAAGAAGGCCUUCGGGUUGUAAAGCACUUUCAGUCAGGAGGAAAGGGUGUGAGUUAAUACCUCAUAUCUGUGACGUUACUGACAGAAGAAGCACCGGCUAACUCCGUGCCAGCAGCCGCGGUAAUACGGAGGGUGCGAGCGUUAAUCGGAAUUACUGGGCGUAAAGCGUACGCAGGCGGUUUGUUAAGCGAGAUGUGAAAGCCCCGGGCUCAACCUGGGAACUGCAUUUCGAACUGGCAAACUAGAGUGUGAUAGAGGGUGGUAGAAUUUCAGGUGUAGCGGUGAAAUGCGUAGAGAUCUGAAGGAAUACCGAUGGCGAAGGCAGCCACCUGGGUCAACACUGACGCUCAUGUACGAAAGCGUGGGGAGCAAACGGGAUUAGAUACCCCGGUAGUCCACGCCGUAAACGAUGUCUACUAGAAGCUCGGAACCUCGGUUCUGUUUUUCAAAGCUAACGCAUUAAGUAGACCGCCUGGGGAGUACGGCCGCAAGGUUAAAACUCA
rnacentral:rRNA from 1 species